rnacentral:tRNA from 1 species
GCCAGCGUAGCUCAGUGGCAGAGCAACACUUUUGUAAAGUGAAGGUCGUCGGUUCAAAUCCGACCGCUGGCU